AAGAUGUGUACACCAAGAUUGUGACUGAGUGCAGCUGGAGCUCCUGAUAUGUUGCAUUUCUGCGAGCUGUAUGAGUGGAUAAUUACCAAGUAGAGGGUCAAAGAUGAAGCCUCUUGUGGAGUGAUGGGCUGAAUGGCCUAUUUCUGAUUGCAGCAGCCAGUCCUGCAAUAAGCUCCACAGGAUUUAUCCCAGUCUUCCCUGGUAGCCAAGAUGAUGUAGUGAAUUGGGUGAGCCAGAAUUCCUCUGGGCUACGUCAAGACAAGUGACCAGACACCCAAAUAUCUUUUUUCUGUGGGAAGACUGUCGCCCAGGUAUCUUUCUGGACUUACAGGUUGUUGGGAGUUUUUUUGUAUACUAUCAAGCAGCAACUAGAUCAUGAUCGUGUAUAAGAGGGUUUACCUUAAAUCUUUCAAAAAGAGGAAUAGGACUGCCCAUUAUUUCAAAUAAUCCAGUUUAGGUGAAAUCCACUUGAAAGUGAUGGGCAGCAGAAUGCUCACUGAAGAGAAAGGUAAGCAGUAAAUUUAGUCUGAAGAAAUUUGGUGACACUGUAAAGUAC
rnacentral:lncRNA from 1 species